CGAGAAAGUUCCUCCUCGUACUCUGCUAUCGUUCUUUCAAACACUCCAAAUAUUUCUUCCACGGCCGCACUGAGUCGCUGACUCAGCAACGCUCUCAGCAUUUCAACUUGACACAUUUUUACGCUAACACACGAUGUCUUCUGCGCAAAGAGCUAAGAGGCUGUCUGCUUGUGAUCCUGCACAUUGGUCUCCAUCACCUUCCUCUUCAUCAUCAUCAUCACCUUCAAUCUUCACAAUGACACAAGUGAAUGGCAACUUGCUGACAUCAGCCUCCUCCUCUUCCUCUUUAAUGUGAGGGCGCACUGGUUCAGGAUGAAAAUCUUCACUGACAACUGCAAGACACAAGAAGACAAGCAUGAGGUUUGGCAAAGUCGCAUACUGCUUAGGGAAGUCUAAAUGUUGUGACUUUGAUGUUGUGUCUUAUUGUUUAGACAGACACCACCUAAUUUAUAGUACAAUCAUUCGGACAUACGGACUGUCAUCUUUGCUAAAAUGUUUGUUUACAAUAUUUCAAGCCCUAUUCUGUCAAAUUCCUGGCGCGCCAUCCCCACAACAUCAGUUGGGGAACAUAGAUUAACUGCAUAUUUUUUAAAUUUUAGAGCUGUGAACAAAGGAUUAUUAAAAAAAAGAAAUUAA